ACCAGCGGUCCCUGAGGUCGGAGGGCGGAGCUGGUGCCCCUAGCCAGGGCUUGGGAGCUUGGCAGUCCUGGAAGGUGUUUUUUCCGUCUUCCCUGGGACUCCACUGUGGUCUUCUUUACAUUAGUGUUUAAUUAUGCGACUAAAACAUGGCUGAAUUAACCUCACUUCGCGCUUAUCCUCACCGGAGGCUCCCCGAUCCUUUCCUCUAUGUGUACUAUGAAGCUUUCCAGAGCUGUCUGAAGUUCCUUAAACCUCUGCGGUGGGAUUUCCCAAGGCCACAAACAUCAUUACCAAAAGCAGCUCGGAGGAGGAAAAAGGUGUGCUCACCAUACAGCUUACACUCCAUCUUGAAGUGAAAUCAGGAACUCGAGCAGAGCAGGAACCUGGAGGCAGGAUAAGCAGAGUGCAGAGGGGAGCUGCUUACUGGCUCGAUGCCUCAGACCGGCUCAGCUUGCUUUCUUACCCCACCCAAGACCGCCUACCCAGGGGUGGCCCCACCCACAGUGUGAGCCCUCCCACGUCAGUCAAGAAAAUGGCCCACAGAUUGCCCGCAGGCCAGUCUCUCCACUGGAAAGGCCGGCCACCACCAUGUUCCAAGACCUUCCUCCUUGCCUUUCCACUAUCGUAUUCACAGACCCAGGAGAAAGAAGAUGGCGUGAGUUCUUCCCAGUGCCGACAGCAGCAUACUCCUGAAAGCCCAAUGUCACCUCUGCGGUCUCAAGCGUCUCACUGGAGCUUAGACUGCGUGGACACACCCCCUUUCAUCUCUGUCCUCCUCCUCCUCCCCGGCAAGGUGAAACUGAAUGUGGUCCUUUUGUGCCCGCUGUAUUCCUUCAAGCCCUCUCAUUUCUGUGUUAGGAUGUUAUUUAUUUUGGUUUCCAUGGGAGCAUUCAGUAGUGUUGUGGUUUGAAUCUUAAAUGUUCUCCGUAUACUAAAGGCUUGGUUGCCAGCCUGUCACACUCUUGGGGGAGGUAAAACUUUUAGGAGGCAAGGACAGGUGGAAGGAAGGAAGGUCAUUGUCGGGGGGACUUCGCUCCUCUUCUGCUUCUCUUUCCUUCCCAGCAGCAUCGAGGUGAGCAGGAUGUAUGGUCCUCACUGUGAUACAUUACCUCCCCUCCAGCCAAAAAACGAAAGCACCAAUCAAACAGCUGGGAUGAUGAGGCAGAAUACGUUUGUAAGUUGUUUCUCUCAAGCAUUUUAGUCAUGGCGAUGGAAAACCGAGGUAAGUGGCCCCGUGGUUUCUAAGGGACAAGAGUCCUUGAUGCUCAGGGUGGAUUUAUGAAGUGAUUCUUAAGUUCUAGGAGUUUUAACAUUAAAGAAAGGAGAAACAGAAUGAUUGAGAGAACUGACGUUCUGAAUGCAGCCUGUGCGUGUAAACCAACUACAUUGUUAGCUUACUUGGGAUUUGUUUCCUUUAGAGCGAGAAAAAGAACACGAUGCAGAUACGUAUGUAUGUAUAUAGAUAUGGAGACGUGUGUGUAUAUUUGUACAUAUGUGUAUAUAUGGACAUACACAUAUAUUUGUGAUUGUCAACUUGGCUGAACUUCUGAUCUUUCUUCAUCUUCUGGCAGCUAAAGAGAAGCAGUCGAUAUGAAAACAACUCCUGACAGCCAAGUCUAAACACAAAUGCCUGCUCCCUCUGCCCUCACCCUGUCAACCUACAAAACAUGGCUCCAUGUGGCAGGGCAGGGGGUGCCAUGACGUGUGUAGAGGCCAGAGGACAUUGUCCAGGAGCCAGUUUUCUCCACUCACCAUGUGGACCACCAUGUGGGUGGAUCUCAGGGUCACAGGCUUCCUGACCUCCACAGUCUGCCUGGCUAGAGACUCCCGUGCCUCUCAGCUCUCAGUUUCUCUGGAGCUGCAUCUCUGUGUUUACCCAUCCCUGUUGUGGAAGGUUCUCCAAAUCCGAGCGUCUCGCUCCCUCUGGUGUCUGCAUGCGGUACUGCAGAUAGAGCCCGGUAUAGCAGUUUGAGCUGCUGGGAUUCACUGCUACCUGCUGUGGUCAGAACUGCAACCAAGCUUCAUAAACAGACCAAACGGAGACAUCUUCCCAGUCCAAGAAAGGCAAGUGGGGCAUCCAACCACAGCAUACAACUGGAAGGGCAACUUCUACUUCUGGCCGUUGGGAAGCGUGCAAAUUGGCACCAGUGUUGGCCAGUUUCCCAGAUCCUGCAGGCUGAGGAGCACAGAAGUCAGGAAGUCCUUCACUUCACAGAUGCUUCACUCCAUCCAGCUGGCAGAGCUGGGUUAGUAGAGGUCUAGUCCCAGGAGGGCAGGGGUGAGGCAGAGGGUAAGCAUAUGAUGGUGCGCACACACCUAAUGCAUCGGAGGAAGGAGCCUCCAAUGAGCCACUAACACAGUCAUAUGGAAGUGUGGCUCCCAUUUUGAAAAUUCCUUUUUUGGACGGUGGAGGCUGGGGAAUGAACC